rnacentral:lncRNA from 1 species
AACAAGCUUAUGUGACAAAAAAAUAAUUUAUUAUUCAUUACAUAAAUAAAUCAUUUUAUAUCAUAGGCAAAAUCGUCAAACCUAACUUAAAAUCCUAAUUAAUAGGAUCAAUGCAUAUAAAUAUAGAGAUAUGAGGAAAGCUGAGGCUCAGAUCUGUAAUAUAUCAGGCAAGAGGGUGACACCACCAUGGCUGCAACCAACAGUUGCAUGAGAGAGAAAGAAGACUAGAUUAACCAAUCGAUCUCUCGCAUACCCUCCGAGUCACCCCGCCAAGAUACGGGUCACAUUCUCUCAAUGCCCGAUUUAACUCAGAAAAUUGAUUCAUCAUCACAGCCUCUUGCGUAGUUUUUCUUUUCUUUUCUUUUUGACAAGCCUAUGGCUCUUAUAUAGUAGUACUAGCAGCAGCAGCAGCAGCAGCACAGUAAUAGAAGUUGAGAUGAAUGUGUUUGAAUGAAGAAGAAUAAACACAUGUAGAAAUAUCAGUUUCCUAUAUAUAUAUACACACUCUAGAGGGUUGUUGAUUUGGGUAACUGGAAAAUGAAAUCAUAGGCCCAAUAAAUGAAUGAUCGGAAGAAGAUGAUUCAAUUUAACAGAGAGGGGCAACCACCCUUAGAAACUUCCCUUCCCUUUGGAGCCUCAUUCUUUUUUUUCUGAGUUUUUCAUGCCCUAAUUUUUGCCCCCUACAACUCUGUUUAAAUAAGUGCCCUGUUUUGUUUUUCUUCCAUCUUUGGAUUGGACCUCGCGGUUGAUCGUUGACGCUAGAGCCUAAAGGAGUUACGUUUGACGAUUUUGCCCAUGAUAUAAAAUGAUUUGUUUAUGUAAUGAAUAAUAAAUUGUUUUUUUUGCCACAUAAGUUUGUUAAG